GGGGCGUGUCAAAUGACGUCUUUAAACUCCAGCAUGUUCUCGGCGCUCUAUUUCUUCUCUCAGCUGAUUAUGACGUAAUAUGCAACAACAACGAGUCGAACUGGGCUGGAGAACCGCAGGUUUUGUUACCCGUGGAGUGGAGCCCAGAGGCGACAGCUCUCUGCUGCGGCGAGACACACCGGCAAGAAGAGACUGUUGUAGAAACACGGCGAUCGCUGUCAACAACCGCCUCAUCUUCUGUCAAACUCACAAGGAGAGUGUUGGAGAGUGGUGACAGGAGGCGUCAUGGUGGAUUACUACAACAUUUUGGGAGUAUCCAAAACAGCCUCUCAGGAUGAUAUCAAGAAGGCCUACAGGAAACUGGCACUUAAAUGGCAUCCUGACAAAAAUCCAGACAAUAAAGAGGAAGCAGAAAAGAAGUUUAAAGAACUCGCCGAGGCAUAUGAAGUUCUCUCUGACCAGAAUAAACGCGGUGCUUACGACAGAUAUGGAAGUGAAGGAUUGAGACACUCAGGCUUUUCCUCAAACUUCUCUCCAGAUUUCCCAGGAUUCGCCUUCACAUUCCGCAGUCCAGAGGAGGUUUUCAAGGAGUUUUUUGGUGGCCAGGAUCCUUUCGCCAGCUUCUUUGAUGACUUAUCAUUCGGGGGUUCGACCUCUCGCCUGGGACCGAACCGUUUUUUCUCGUUCCCUUCAGCUGGAGGUGAAUUUGCAUCUUUUCCAUCCAUGGGUGGUUUUCAUGACCUGGGAGGUAUGGGAGGUGGCAAUUUCAAAUCGGUGUCUACUUCCACCCGCAUCAUAAAUGGCAAGCGCACAACCACCAAGAAGAUUAAAGAGAAUGGCCAAGAAAGAACAGAGAUCGAAGAAGAUGGCGUGUUAAAGACUGUGCUGAUUAAUGGCGUGCAGGAUGAAAUGGCUCUGGCACUGGAGCUGAGUCGACGAGAGGGACAGCCUCACCAACCGAAUCCCUCAAUCGAAAACCGGUUACGUCACGAAACUGGCAGAACUCGGCCCAGCCCGUUUUCGGCAGUCACGCACCGUUCGUUCAGUGCCGCCCCUUUCUACCGUUACGGAGGAGUCGGUGCGAGCGAGCAAGAGGAGGACGAUGAAGAACUCCAGAUGGCGUUGGCGUUCAGCUUGUCAGAAAUGGAAGCCCAGCAGAAAGCAGCUGCUCCCGACGUCAUAUCAGACUCAGACUUUAAGGCCUUCACCAGCUAACCCGAUUGCCUCAAGCUACGCUGUGACCACGCCCCUCAUCUACUGGUAAAAUUUUACAAUGUCUCAUGAUGCAUUUGUCUCCCCUUGCCCAACGAGACUUCUACACGAUGAAUGACUCUUACAUUAAGGUUUGCUUUGUGUGUAUGACUGUGAAUGAGCAUAGCUACUCCACACUGGCCGGAAAAAACUGGAAAAUUAAUAAUCUCUGGAUUAAUCAAUUUUGUUCAUGCUACGUUGUCAAUACUGGACAAUAAUGUACAGGAUAAAAGAUGGAAGAACAAUUAACGUAACCAUUUAAAAUCUUUUAACAAAGCAAGGAAAUAAAGUGUUUCCUUCUGA